rnacentral:tRNA from 1 species
UCCCUGGUGGUCCAGUGGUUAAGACUCUGAGCUUCCAAUUCAGGGGCUGCUGAUUAGAUCCCUGGUCGGGGAA